rnacentral:tRNA from 1 species
GCCUGGGUGGCUCAGUGGUUGAGCAUCUGCCUUUGGCUCAGGUCCUAAUCCUGGGGUCCUGGGAUUCAGUCCCAGAUCAGGCU